rnacentral:rRNA from 1 species
CCUAGCUGUGUUGGCUUUCUAACCCGCACCACUUAUCGUGGUGGGAGACAGUGUCAGGCGGGCAGUUUGACUGGGGCGGUCGCCUCCUAAAAGGGAACGGAGGCGCUCAAAGGGUCCCUCAGAAUGGUUGGAAAUCAUUCAUAGAGUGUAAAGGCAUAAGGGAGCUUGACUGCGAGACCUACAAGUCGAGCAGGGUCGAAAGACGGACUUAGUGAUCCGGUG